rnacentral:rRNA from 1 species
CCAAUCGAACUCGGAGAUAGCUGGUUCUCCCCGAAAUAGCUUUAGGGCUAGCGUUAUGUUAGAUUACCGGAGGUAAAGCACUGAAUGGUGGCGGGGCCGAUAAGGUUACCAAGACCUAUCAAACUCUGAAUGCCGGAUAAUUGAUGCAUAGCAGUCAGACAGCGUGAGAUAAGUUUCGUUGUCAAAAGGGAAACAGCCCAGACCCACAGCUAAGGUCCCAAAUUCAUGCUAAGUGGAAAACGAUGUGGAAUUGCGAAAACAACCAGGAUGUUGGCUUAGAAGCAGCCACUCAUUAAAAGAGUGCGUAAUAGCUCACUGGUCGAGUGACUCUGCGCGGAAAAUAUAACGGGGCUAAGCAUGAAACCGAAGCUUGGGCUUGUACUUAGGUACAGGGGUAGGGGAGCGUCGAGUAUGGGGUGAAGUCAGAGCGGAAGCACUGGUGGACUGUACUGGAGUGAGAAUGCCGGAAUGAGUAGCGAGAAUUAUGUGGGAAUCAUAAUGGCCGAAAAUCUAAGGUUUCUUGGGGAAGGUUCGUCCGCCCAAGGUAAGUCGGGAGCUAAGCUCAGGCCGAGAGGCGUAGGCGAUGCACAUACGGUAGAAAUUCCGUAACCACCGAAACUUAAACAGAGGGACACUUCGAAAUAGCGGAACCCGGGCGUUGGUUGACCCGGGCGUAAGGGAGCGAAAUUAGAGUAGCGAAGUCCGCGAUGUUCGGAGGCGAGAAAAGCUCUGAGGUAUGCUAAGGUGCCCGUACCGCAAACCGACACAGGUAGAUGAGGAGAGAAUCCUAAGGCCAACGGGAGAAGGGUUGUUAAGGAACUCGGCAAAUUGACCCCGUAACUUCGGAAGAAGGGGAGCCCCCUACGGGGGGUCGCAGAGAAAUGGCCCAAGCAACUGUUUACCAAAAACACAGGUCUAUGCUAAAUCGAAAGAUGACGUAUAUGGGCUGACGCCUGCCCGGUGCCGGAAGGUUAAGAGGAGAUGUCAGCGCAAGCGAAGCAUUGAAUUGAAGCCCCGGUAAACGGCGGCCGUAACUAUAACGGUCCUAAGGUAGCGAAAUUCCUUGUCAGGUAAGUUCUGACCCGCACGAAAGGCGUAAUGAUUUGGGCACUGUCUCAACAGCCCGCCCGGCGAAAUUGUAGUACUGGUGAAGAUGCCAGUUACCCGCAACUAGACGGAAAGACCCCAUGGAGCUUUACUGCAGCUUAAUACUGAAAUUCGGUAGUACAUGUACAGGAUAGGUGGGAGACUGAGAAAUACAGGCGUCAGCUUGUAUGGAGUCGCUGUUGGGAUACCACUCUUGUACUGCUGGGUUUCUAACCUGCGGCCGUGAAUCCGGUCGGGGGACACUGUUAGGCGGGCAGUUUGACUGGGGCGGUCGCCUCCUAAAGAGUAACGGAGGCGCUCAAAGGUUGGCUCAGCACGGACGGAAAUCGUGCAGUGAGUGUAAACGUAAAAGCCAGCCUAACUGCGAGACCGACGGGUCGAGCAGUAACGAAAGUUGGAGUUAGUGAUCCGGUGGUAUGUGAGUGGAAAUGCCAUCGCUCAACGGAUAAAAGCUACCCUGGGGAUAACAGGCUGAUCUCCCCCAAGAGUUCACAUCGACGGGGAGGUUUGGCACCUCGAUGUCGGCUCAUCGCAUCCUGGGGCUGAAUUCGGUCCCAAGGGUUUGGCUGUUCGCCAAUUAAAGCGGCACGCGAGCUGGGUUCAGAACGUCGUGAGACAGUUCGGUCCCUAUCUGUUGCG